rnacentral:rRNA from 2 species
AAACUUUCAACAACGGAUCUCUUGGUUCCGGCAUCGAUGAAGAACGCAGCGAAAUGCGAUAAGUAAUGUGAAUUGCAGAAUUCCGUGAAUCAUCGAAUCUUUGAACGCACAUUGCGCCCCUUGGUAUUCCGGGGGGCAUGCCUGUUCGAGCGUCAUU